rnacentral:rRNA from 1 species
GACGAACGCUGGCGGCGUGCCUAAUACAUGCAAGUCGAGCGAAUCGGCGGUUGGGUGAGUAACGCGUGGUUAACCUGCCCUUCUGUCUGGGAUACCAUCUGGAAACACAUGCUAAUACCGGAUCCUUAACGAUGGACCUGCGUUGCAUUAGCGAGUUGGUACGGUAACGGCUUACCAAGGCGAUGAUGCCUAGCCGGGUUGAGAGACUGAUCGGCCACAUUGGGACUGAGACACGGCCCAAACUCCUACGGGAGGCAGCAGUAGGGAAUAUUGCACAAUGGGCGCAAGCCUGAUGCAGCCAUGCCGCGUGUAUGAAGAAGGCCUUAGGGUUGUAAAGUACUUUCAGCGAGGAGGCGUUACUCGCAGAAGAAGCACCGGCUAACUCCGUGCCAGCAGCCGCGGUAAUUC